UACGUAGGGGGCAAGCGUUAUCCAGAUUUACUGGGCGUAAAGCGCGUGUAGGCGGCUGGUUAGGCGUGAUGUGAAAUCUUCCGGCUCAACCGGAAAACUGCAUUGCGAACCGGCCUGGCUAGAGUGCAGGAGAGGGAAGCGGAAUUCCAGGUGUAGCGGUGAAAUGCGUAGAUAUCUGGAGGAACACCGAUGGCGAAGGCAGGUCUCUGGGCCACUACUGACGCUGAGAAGCGAAAGCGUGGGGAGCGAACAGG
rnacentral:rRNA from 1 species